rnacentral:rRNA from 1 species
AGCGAACGCUGGCGGUAGGCCUAACACAUGCAAGUCGAACGGCAGCACAGUAAGAGCUUGCUCUUACGGGUGGCGAGUGGCGGACGGGUGAGGAAUACAUCGGAAUCUACUUUUUCGUGGGGGAUAACGAAGGGAAACUUACGCUAAUACCGCCUACGACCUACGGGUGAAAGCAGGGGAUCUUCGGACCUUGCGCGAUUGAAUGAGCCGAUGUCGGAUUAGUUAGUUGGCGGGGUAAAGGCCCACCAAGGCGACGAUGCGUAGCUGGGCUGUGAGGAUGAACCGCCACACUGGAACUGAACCACGGUCCAGACUCCGAGAGGAGGCAGCAGUGGGGAAUGUUGGACGAUGGGCGCAAGCUUGAUCCAGCCGUGCCACGUGGAUGAAGAAGGCCUUCGGGUUGGAAAGCCCUUUUGUUGGUAAAGAAAAGCAGCAGGUUAAUACACCGCUGUUCUGACGGUACCCAAAGAAUAAGCACCGGCUAACUUCGUG